UGAGACCUCGACUCUAAGGAAAGGGUAUGC
rnacentral:piRNA from 1 species